rnacentral:rRNA from 1 species
AUUGAACGCUGGCGGCAGGCCUAACACAUGCAAGUCGGGCGGAGCGGCGGACGGGUGAGUAAUGUAUGGGGAUCUGACUGAUGGAGGGGGAUAACUACUGGAAACGGUAGCUAAUACCGCAUACUAUCAGAUGAGCCUAGGUCGGAUUAGCUAGUGGCUGGGGUAAAGGCCUACAUAGGCGACGAUCCGAAACUGGUCUGAGAGGAUGAUCAGUCACACUGGAACUGAGACACGGUCCAGACUCCUACGGGAGGCAGCAGUGGGGAAUAUUGUACAAUGCGCGAAAGCCUGAUCCAGCCAUGCCGCGUGUAUGAAAAAGGUCUUCGGAUUGUAAAGCACUUUAAGUUGGGAGGCGUUACCAACAGAAUAAGCACCGGCUAACUUCGUGACAGCAUCCGCGGUAAUAC